GGAGCCGCUCGCCCCGUGGCGUGCGCGCUGUCGCGACAGGCGCUUCAGUGGGGAAGGCUGGUGCACAUCGUGACAAUAGUGUCUGCCUGCCCGUGUCGCGACAGGAGCCUCAUCCCGCCAUGCGUGCGCCAGAGGCAAUGUGUGUUCCUGUAUCAGCAGCAGGUAGAAUUUGACUUCCACUGAGACCGGGAGAGUUGUUAAAGGACUGUACCAUGAACAGUUCCACCAUGCAACAGGUGUUUGUCAUUUCACCUACUUACUGAAUCACAACAAAAAGUCACAUUCUCCCUGACUUGUCAAGAUAGAAGGGAAGACAUCCAGAUGCACCCCAGGCAGGGGACUCCUGAGCGGCUGUAAGUGAUGUCGGUGGGAUGUUCAAGUCUGAGAAAUGAUGCCAUGUGUCUUCUGGCAUGUGACAUAAAGCUAUAGGUGUCAGACAAGAGGACUGUAAGGUAAGGGAGCACCUGAACA